UGAGGAAUAUUGGUCAAUGGGCGAGAGCCUGAACCAGCCAAGUAGCGUGCGGGAUGAAGGCCCUAUGGGUUGUAAACCGCUUUUACAGGGGGAUAAAGUGAGCGUCGUGACGUUCAUUGCAGGUACCCUGCGAAUAAGGACCGGCUAAUUCCGUGCCAGCAGCCGCGGUAAUACGGAAGGUCCGGGCGUUAUCCGGAUUUAUUGGGUUUAAAGGGAGCGUAGGCCGCCCCUUAAGCGUGUUGUGAAAUGCCGCGGCUCAACCGUGGCACUGCAGCGCGAACUGGGGGGCUUGAGUGCACGCAACGCAGGCGGAAUUCGUGGUGUAGCGGUGAAAUGCUUAGAUAUCACGAAGAACUCCGAUUGCGAAGGCAGCUUGCGGGAGUGCGACUGACGCUGAAGCUCGAAGGUGCGGGUAUCGAACAGGAUUAGAUACCCUGGUAGU
rnacentral:rRNA from 1 species